rnacentral:rRNA from 1 species
UACGAAGGGGGCUAGCGUUGCUCGGAAUCACUGGGCGUAAAGCGCACGUAGGCGGAUUGCUAAGUCAGGGGUGAAAUCCUGGAGCUCAACUCCAGAACUGCCUUUGAUGCUGGCGAUCUUGAGUCCGGGAGAGGUGAGUGGAACUGCGAGUGUAGAGGUGAAAUUCGUAGAUAUUCGCAAGAACACCAGUGGCGAAGGCGGCUCACUGGCCCGGUACUGACGCUGAGGUGCGAAAGCGUGGGGAGCGAACAGG